rnacentral:rRNA from 2 species
AGCUUCCAUUGAAUGACGUGCUUGCACUGAUUUCAACAAUGAAGCGAGUGGCGAACUGGUGAGUAACACGUGGGAAAUCUGCCCAGAAGCAGGGGAUAACACUUGGAAACAGGUGCUAAUACCGUAUAACAACAAAAUCCGCAUGGAUUUUGUUUGAAAGGUGGCUUCGGCUAUCACUUCUGGAUGAUCCCGCGGCGUAAUAGUUAGUUGGUGAGGUAAAGGCCCACCAAGACGAUGAUACGUAGCCGACCUGAGAGGGUAAUCGGCCACAUUGGGACUGAGACACGGCCCAAACUCCUACGGGAGGCAGUAGGGAAUCUUCCACAAUGGACGAAAGUCUGAUGGAGCAAUGCCGCGUGAGUGAAGAAGGGUUUCGGCUCGUAAAACUCUGUUGUUAAAGAAGAACACCUUUGAGAGUAACUGUUCAAGGGUUGACGGUAUUUAACCAGAAAGCCACGGCUAACUACGUGCCACCGCGGUAAUACGUAGGUGGCAAGCGUUGUCCGGAAUUAUUGGGCGUAAAGCGAGCGCAGGCGGUAUUCUAAGUCUGAUGUGAAAGCCUUCGGCUUCACCGGAGAAGUGCAUCGGAAACUGGGAGACUUGAGUGCAGAAGAGGACAGUGGAACUCCAUGUGUAGCGGUGGAAUGCGUAGAUAUAUGGAAGAACACCAGUGGCGAAGGCGGCUGUCUAGUCUGUAACUGACGCUGAGGCUCGAAAGCAUGGGUAGCGAACAGGAUUAGAUACCCUGGUAGUCCAUGCCGUAAACGAUGAGUGCUAAGUGUUGGAGGGUUUCCGCCCUUCAGUGCUGCAGCUAACGCAUUAAGCACUCCGCCUGGGGAGUACGACCGCAAGGUUGAAACUCAAAGGAAUUGACGGGGGCCCGCACAAGCGGUGGAGCAUGUGGUUUAAUUCGAAGCUACGCGAAGAACCUUACCAGGUCUUGACAUCUUCUGCCAAUCUUAGAGAUAAGACGUUCCCUUCGGGGACAGUUAGACAGGUCAU